rnacentral:rRNA from 1 species
UGGGGAAUUUUGGACAAUGGGCGAAAGCCUGAUCCAGCAAUGCCGCGUGUGUGAAGAAGGCCUUCGGGUUGUAAAGCACUUUUGUCCGGAAAGAAAUCCUUGGCUCUAAUACAGUCGGGGGAUGACGGUACCGGAAGAAUAAGCACCGGCUAACUACGUGCCAGCAGCCGCGGUAAUACGUAGGGUGCAAGCGUUAAUCGGAAUUACUGGGCGUAAAGCGUGCGCAGGCGGUUUGCUAAGACCGAUGUGAAAUCCCCGGGCUCAACCUGGGAACUGCAUUGGUGACUGGCAGGCUAGAGUAUGGCAGAGGGGGGUAGAAUUCCACGUGUAGCAGUGAAAUGCGUAGAGAUGUGGAGGAAUACCGAUGGCGAAGGCAGCCCCCUGGGCCAAUACUGACGCUCAUGCACGAAAGCGUGGGGGAGCAAACAGGAUUAGAUACCCCUGGUAGUCCACGCCCUAAACGAUGUCAACUAGUUGUUGGGGGAUUCAUUUCCUUAGUAACGUAGCUAACGCGUGAAGUUGACCGCCUGGGGAGUACGGUCGCAAGAUUAAAACUCAAAUGGAAUUGACGGGGUCAUAGCUGUUUCCU